rnacentral:rRNA from 1 species
UACGUAGGGUGCAAGCGUUGUCCGGAAUUAUUGGGCGUAAAGAGCUCGUAGGCGGUUUGUUGCGUCGGCUGUGAAAGUCCGGGGCUCAACUCCGGAUCUGCGGUGGGUACGGGCAGACUAGAGUGAUGUAGGGGAGACUGGAAUUCCUGGUGUAGCGGUGAAAUGCGCAGAUAUCAGGAGGAACACCGAUGGCGAAGGCAGGUCUCUGGGCAUUAACUGACGCUGAGGAGCGAAAGCAUGGGGAGCGAACAGG